rnacentral:rRNA from 1 species
GAUGAACGCUAGCGGCAGGCCUAACACAUGCAAGUCGAACGGUAACAUAAAGAAGCUUGCUUCUUUGAUGACGAGUGGCGCACGGGUGCGUAACGCGUAUACAAUCUGCCUCUUACAGGGGGAUAGCCUUUGGAAACGAAGAAUAAUACCCCAUAGUAUGUAGAUAUCGCAUGGUAAUUACAUUAAAGAUUUAUCGGUAAGAGAUGAGUAUGCGUCCUAUUAGCUAGAUGGUGUGGUAACGGCACACCAUGGCAACGAUAGGUAGGGGCCCUGAGAGGGGGAUCCCCCACACUGGUACUGAGACACGGACCAGACUCCUACGGGAGGCAGCAGUGAGGAAUAUUGGACAAUGGGCGCGAGCCUGAUCCAGCCAUGCCGCGUGCAGGAAGACUGCCCUAUGGGUUGUAAACUGCUUUUAUACGGGAAGAAACCCACCUACGUGUAGGUGGCUGACGGUACCGUAAGAAUAAGCAUCGGCUAACUCCG